rnacentral:lncRNA from 1 species
UCUACCCUAAAAAAAAACCGUUGACCUAUAUAUAAAAUUCGGCUAUUUUAUUUCGCCCCGAAAAAGUGAUAAAUCUGUCGGAUCUGAAAGAUGUAAUUUUGAACAGUGUUGUCAUAAUAAUGUUAAUUUUCCAACUUCCUUACACGAGAAUACUGAGAAAGCCAAGAUUCCACAAUUUAUUUAUAUUGUUUAAUAACACUACGCUAUCUGAAGAAACAGGAAAUUAAGCUACAAAUUCCAUCAAACUUCCUAACCAAUACCCAUAUUUCAUUUAAAUUGCAACACUGAUCAUUUUCUGAUUCCAAUAGUGUCCAAUAGCAAAUUCUCUUAAAUUUUCCAUCCAGUGAUGUGUAAUUGUUCCAAUGUAUCUUUAACUUUCAAUAAAAUUAUCUAAAAAAGGGUUAUUUUGUUAUCAAAGUGCUGUUCUAUGUAUAAAUAUCAUUAUAUUAUCAUAGGUUUCCCUGUUCAUAGUUUGUGAUUUGUUGAUGUGUCUAAUGUGUCUAAAAUAAUCAUUAUUUAACUUUAUGAAGACCACAUUUUGAGAAUAUGAUGGACGCAAAUGAUUUAUCUUCUGAAACUACAAGAAAAAGUAUAUUUUCACAAGGAUGGACACGUAUUUCUCAGAUAUACCAGGGUACAUUAGAUAAAUGGACGCCACAUGCGAGAGCGCGGUGGUUUGGGAGUGCAGUACUUUUAGCAAUAUUUCUGAUUAGAAUAUUUA